GAUGAAGAACGUAGCGAAAUGCGAUACGUAGUGUGAAUUGCAGAAUUCAGUGAAUCAUCGAAUCUUUGAACGCACAUUGCGCCCUUUGGUAUUCCAAAGGGCAUGCCUGUUCGAGCGUCAUUUGUACCCUCAAGCUUUGCUUGGUGUUGGGCGUCUUGUCUCCAGUCCGCUGGAGACUCGCCUUAAAGUCAUUGGCAGCCGGCCUACUGGUUUCGGAGCGCAGCACAAGUCGCACUCUUUUCCAGCCAAGGUCAGUGUCCAACAAGCCUUUUUUCAACUUUUGACCUCGGAUCAGGUAGGGAUACCCACUGAACUUAAGCAUAUCAAUAAGCGGAGGA
rnacentral:misc_RNA from 1 species